rnacentral:rRNA from 1 species
GAUGAACGCUGGCGGCGUGCUUAACACAUGCAAGCCGAACGGUGAAGGCGGAGCUUGCUCUGCUGGAUCAGUGGCGAACGGGUGAGUAACACGUGAGCAAUCUGCCCCUGACUCUGGGAUAAGCGCUGGAAACGGCGUCUAAUACUGGAUACGAGCUGCGAAGGCAUCUUCAGCAGCUGGAAAGAAUUUCGGUCAGGGAUGAGCUCGCGGCCUAUCAGCUUGUUGGUGAGGUAAUGGCUCACCAAGGCGUCGACGGGUAGCCGGCCUGAGAGGGUGACCGGCCACACUGGGACUGAGACACGGCCCAGACUCCUACGGGAGGCAGCAGUGGGGAAUAUUGCACAAUGGGCGAAAGCCUGAUGCAGCAACGCCGCGUGAGGGACGACGGCCUUCGGGUUGUAAACCUCUUUUAGCAGGGAAGAAGCGAAAGUGACGGUACCUGCAGAAAAAGCGCCGGCUAACUACGUG